GAUGAACGCUGGCGGCGUGCUUAACACAUGCAAGUCGAACGGAAAGGCCCAAGCUUGCUUGGGUACUCGAGUGGCGAACGGGUGAGUAACACGUGGGUGAUCUGCCCUGCACUUCGGGAUAAGCCUGGGAAACUGGGUCUAAUACCGGAUAGGACCACAUUUUGGAUGGUGUGGUGGAAAGUUUUUCGGUGUGGGUUGAGCUCGCGGCCUAUCAGCUUGUUGGUGGGGUAAUGGCCUACCAAGGCGUCGACGGGUAGCCGGCCUGAGAGGGUGUACGGCCACAUUGGGACUGAGGUACGGCCCAGACUCCGACGGGAGGGAGCAGGGGGGAAUAUUGCACAAUGGGCGCAAGCCUGAUGCAGCGACGCCGCGUGGGGGAUGACGGCCUUCGGGUUGUAAACUCCUUUCGCUAGGGACGAAGCGUUAUGUGACGGUACCUGGAGAAGAAGCACCGGCUAACUACGUG
rnacentral:rRNA from 1 species